GUGGGGAAUAUUGGGCAAUGGGCGCAAGCCUGACCCAGCAACGCCGCGUGAGGGAAGAAGGCUUUCGGGUUGUAAACCUCUGUCCUUGGUGACGAAAAAAAUGACGGUAGCCAAGGAGGAAGCCCCGGCUAACUACGUGCCAGCAGCCGCGGUAAUACGUAGGGGGCGAGCGUUGUCCGGAAUUACUGGGCGUAAAGGGUGCGUAGGUGGCCUUUUAAGUUGGAUGUGAAAUCCCCGGGCUUAACUUGGGUGGUGCAUCUAAUACUGGAGGGCUAGAGUGCAGGAGAGGGAAGCGGAAUUCCUAGUGUAGCGGUGAAAUGCGUAGAUAUUAGGAGGAACACCAGUGGCGAAGGCGGCUUUCUGGACUGUAACUGACACUGAGGCACGAAAGCGUGGGGAGCAAACAGGAUUAGAUACCCCGGUAGUCC
rnacentral:rRNA from 1 species